CCUACGGGUGGCAGCAGUGGGGAAUAUUGCACAAUGGGGGGAACCCUGAUGCAGCGACGCCGCGUGGGUGAAGGAGUACUUCGGUACGUAAAGCCCUAUCAGCAGGAAAGAAAAUGACGGUACCUGACUAAGAAGCCCCGGCUAACUACGUGCCAGCAGCCGCGGUAAUACGUAGGGGGCAAGCGUUAUCCGGAUUUACUGUGUGUAAAGGGAGCGUAGACGGCAGUGCAAGUCCGGAGUGAAAGCCCGGGGCUCAACCCUGGGACUGCUCUGGAAACUGUAAAGCUGGAGUGCGGGAGGGGCAGGCGGAAUUCCUGGUGUAGCGGGGAAAUGCGUAGAUAUCAGGAGGAACACCGGCGGCGAAGGCAUCUCACGAAUCCGCGAUUGACGCUGAUGCACGAAAGCGUGGGUAUCAAACAGGAUUAGAUACCCUGGUAGUC
rnacentral:rRNA from 1 species